CAACCAACACAAUAUCCAAGUGAUGAUUAGUCUUGGUCAAUAGAGGUAAUUCAUGAUCCAACAAUAUAAUAAAGAAAAGAUUCUGAGAAGGAUACGGAUAAAAAAUAAUGAUAAGUCCGUGAAAGUUUUUGAAAUUAGAAAAUAUCGGCACUCGUAAAAUAAAAUUGUGCACAUGGAGCCAUUUUCAUUAAUUUGAAUUUUCGAUAUUAUCUAAAUAAAAUACCAUGAUCGUUAUAUAACAGGCCAAAAGCGGCCUUGCUAAUUUCAAGUGGACAAAUUAUACAAGUACAGUGCAGGGUUCAAAAUUCAUUAAAAUCAUGCAGGAUUGGAUACAAGGAGAGAAUAUAGCUGGGAGAUGUCAUCCUCUUAUUGGUCCCGGCAAUGAAUAGCUGCCGGUGCCGGUGAGCGAAGAUCUGACAACCUUUGGCAGUCCAGUCCACCAUGCCUGUAGCGUCGACGAUGAAUUUCAAUUGAUGAUGGAGUGGAGGAGACGGCAACGUGAUAAUCAAAACCAUUCAGCGCUUUUGGUCUGAGACUUUGUGAGGGAGCAGAACAAGUCUUUAGCGCAUCGCCCACCAACUGUUCGAGGAAAUGUUUCUUCAUCAAGACCUGCUUGCAGCCCAUCAUCAUCUCCAUCUCUUGUGACGGUCCGCUGAUUCGGCCUGGCCUCAUUUGCCAACUCUAAUCUGUCUUCUGCUACUCGUUACCAUUGCCUACUGCUGCUCCUCCUCCUCCUCCUCCUCCCCCGUCUUCUGCUCAGCACUGCAACUUCUUCUAGCAUUGGCAACCUAACUUAUUAUUCCCCGGUCACAUGGAUGUUCCCCUGCCGAUGGAUAAACUGUCCUUGACAUUCACUGCCAAUCCGUGAGUUCCGACGACAACCUUGUAAUGUCAUGUUUGUUCAGUUUUCUCCUGCCUCUCUUAUGCUCCGACACCCUUGACGAUCAGCAUUGUUUGGCUUUCCCUCUAAUGAACGUGAUGGUCCUACGAAUUUUGUCCCUGCUGAAGAUAUGCUUUCAACCAGAGAAAGCAGUUACAGAAUAGUGCAUAGUCCAGGUUCCUCAAUGCCCGUGGGACAUUGUUGCAAAUGAGAUCACCCCACUUAGUUUUUGAAAUUACACGUUCAAACUACCAAAUAUCUUCUGAUCAUGUGUGUGGAACAAGGAACGGACAUAUGUGGUUCUUGUAGCCACUUGAAGUUUCAACCCUCCCACUUACAUGCAUCUACGCCUGUUUGGUAAAAGUUCUGCACCCCUACAUAUUGUUGUGUUUUCCUUUCACACUCGGAGAAAAGAGACAACAUCGAGCCAUGCGCUUGAGGUCUCCCCAACCUUGAUGAUAUUUACUUUUAUCCCUAGAGCUAGCAAGGGGCGCACUGAAUGUAGCGAUAUUGUGUCAUUGGGGGCUAUAUGUCCCCUUUAAAUGAUGCAUACAAGAAAAUGUAAGUAUUUUUUUCUCUUAACAGUUAAACAGAAAGGAUAUGUAGCAUAAACAUGUCGAUAGAUGCACUAGUAAUCCAAAUGCUUAAACCUAUUGCAUGCAAUUAAUAAAAUGGCAUUGCUAUUAAUAGCCGGAAUAACUGGCUAACUCUGUAAGUUGAUAUUUUGCUCAUGAAGUAACACUUCAAAAUACUGGUAGGAUGCUCGCGAAAACUAUCGAUGUUGAAGAAAUUGGUUAGAAAGCAUAAGUUGCUUUAAGAAUUAUACCCUCUAUAUGUAGUGGUCCGUUUCUUGUGCUUGGCACUUGAAUAAUGUGUCAUAGAAAAGUUAUUUGCAUUCUUACCAUAAAUCAGUUCUUCUCAAUUGUGGAAUGAAUAUGGCUUGUAGGGCUUCAUAUCCGCUGAACAUCAUGUACAGUUAUGUCAAUUGGCCUCAAGAAGUUCUGAUUUUGUAAUGGUUGAUUCAUGGGAGGCAAGUCAGAGUACCUAUCAGCAAACGUUAGCUGUUUUGUGUAGAAUCAAGAAUUGCUUGUGCAAGGAAAGGCUGCUAUCAGAGGGUGAACAUCGAAGUUGUGGAUGAACUCGUGUCUAAUCAGAUCAGUUCAACAAGGGUCAGGGACUGCAUUUCAAGAGGAUUAUCAAUAAAAUAUCUUACUGCAGAUGAAGUGAUCGAUUACAUUAGAGACAACCAUUUAUACCUGAAGUCAAAUGAGGACAAGUGAGGAGAGGAAGCUUCUCCAUCCCAGCAAGUACGCCACAUAAAUGUUGAUCUUCAUCAACAAUCGAGCCCCUUGUGUAUCUAAAUUGAAUAAAUUAACGCAUCGCGAUCCCAUUCCAUGAAACAAUAGAAUUAGACAUUUUGUUUGUUGUAUCAACUGACCCUGUUAGUCCAAUAUUAUAUAUAUAUCGACGGGUUGAUGCUCUCAUUCUCUAUUGCAAUUCUGCCAAAAUCAGCUUCUAUGAAUGAUAAUAUGAUAUUGCUAUUGUCGGUCUUUUGUUCCUAAAUAUGCUGAAGAUUCUCGGCAUUGGUGAUGAGUCAAAGCUAAGGAUGCAAUCUCUGGUGGAAUUUCCUCGACUGUGGGUGAGCUCAAAGUUCAGAGUUUCAGGGACAGCUCAUAUGGUGUCAGUGCUUGGCUUUAUGGCUUUUUGUCUGAGUGAGACUUCGCUGACGCAGCACUCCCUCCUUUUACCCUGUUUGAAACAACAAAGAUGUUGUGCCAUGCGGCACCAUUUCCGGGUCUCACAGUCCCAAAAGGAGGAUGAGAACUCUGACCCGUUUCAAUGGCCUUCUUAAAUCAUCUGCUCUACCCAGCCUGGGACUGUUUGAGCCCGGUACUGAGCCCCCUUAAACCCUCCAUCUCCUCCUUAUCCUUCCUCCUCCUUCUUCUUCUUCUUCUUCUUCUUCUUCUGUGGGUCUCGAUCUGUUUUGCAAUGAGCUCACUUCAGAUGCUUCUGUCAAGAUUCGCAAUCCUUCUCGUAAUCUGCUUCCUGGUUCCUCAUCAUGUAGUGGUGUCCUGGACAGGUGCCGAGCCCGAUUCCCCUGCGACCUGCAACAACUGCACUAUCUGUCCCUAUAUGUGCCACUCGACCCCUUCUCCUCCACCCCCAGCAGGAACAGGGUACCCUGAGUAUGGAACGCCGCCGCCGCCAUCACCGCCUCAAAGGACACCAGGGCAGGGCACCUGCCCGCCCGGACAGGUUGUUUCUUGCUGCCCCUCGUCCCCGACCCCUCCAUACCCUUACGGACCUUACGGUUAUGGCCCUCCGACCCCGCCUAUGGGAUACAUGCCGUUUGAAAAUCGCUCUGCUUUAGGACCCUACCCUUUACAUUUCGGUCUCCUGAUUCUGCUUCUGUUGCUGGUCAUUCUAUUCGUCGGUAUUUAACGAGGAAGCGUCAUCUUUCUCCUAUCAGAUCUUGUCCUAGUGUGCGAGCAGCUUCUCGUGCUAAGUAAUAAGCGCAAAAAGAAAAAAAAAAAAAAAAGUAUAUAUAUAUCUCCCUCUGUUUCAUUGCUUCACCGUGUGUAUGAACAAUGUGUAGUAGGAACAUCAUGUGCAUAUAUAUGAAGUAUUGUUCGAAAUAGCCUCAUAUUAGGCGUUUGAAUUGAGUCUCGGGUAAACAUGUUGAUCUUGUUCCGUUGUUAUGCAAAUGAUUGUAUUUGUCGAUUCA